rnacentral:rRNA from 1 species
UGCAGCCGAGCGGUAGAGAUCUUUCGGGAUCUUGAGAGCGGCGUACGGGUGCGGAACACGUGUGCAACCUGCCUUUAUCAGGGGGAUAGCCUUUCGAAAGGAAGAUUAAUACCCCAUAAUAUUUAGAAUGGCAUCAUUUUAAAUUGAAAACUCCGGUGGAUAGAGAUGGGCACGCGCAAGAUUAGAUAGUUGGUGAGGUAACGGCUCACCAAGUCUGCGAUCUUUAGGGGGCCUGAGAGGGUGAUCCCCCACACUGGUACUGAGACACGGACCAGACUCCUACGGGAGGCAGCAGUGAGGAAUAUUGGACAAUGGGUGCGAGCCUGAUCCAGCCAUCCCGCGUGAAGGAUGACGGCCCUAUGGGUUGUAAACUUCUUUUGUAUAGGGAUAAACCUAGAUACGUGUAUCUAGCUGAAGGUACUAUACGAAUAAGCACCGGCUAACUCCGUGCCAGCAGCCGCGGUAAUACGGAGGGUGCAAGCGUUAUCCGGAUUUAUUGGGUUUAAAGGGUCCGUAGGCGGAUCUGUAAGUCAGUGGUGAAAUCUCACAGCUUAACUGUGAAACUGCCAUUGAUACUGCAGGUCUUGAGUGUUGUUGAAGUAGCUGGAAUAAGUAGUGUAGCGGUGAAAUGCAUAGAUAUUACUUAGAACACCAAUUGCGAAGGCAGGUUACUAAGCAACAACUGACGCUGAUGGACGAAAGCGUGGGGAGCGAACAGGAUUAGAUACCCUGGUAGUCCACGCCGUAAACGAUGCUAACUCGUUUUUGGAGCGCAAGCUUCAGAGACUAAGCGAAAGUGAUAAGUUAGCCACCUGGGGAGUACGAACGCAAGUUUGAAACUCAAAGGAAUUGACGGGGGCCCGCACAAGCGGUGGAUUAUGUGGUUUAAUUCGAUGAUACGCGAGGAACCUUACCAAGGCUUAAAUGGGAAAUGACAGGCUUAGAAAUAGGCUUUUCUUCGGACAUUUUUCAAGGUGCUGCAUGGUUGUCGUCAGCUCGUGCCGUGAGGUGUUAGGUUAAGUCCUGCAACGAGCGCAACCCCUGUCACUAGUUGCCAUCAUUAAGUUGGGGACUCUAGUGAGACUGCCUACGCAAGUAGAGAGGAAGGUGGGGAUGACGUCAAAUCAUCACGGCCCUUACGCCUUGGGCCACACACGUAAUACAAUGGCCGGUACAGAGGGCAGCUACACAGCGAUGUGAUGCAAAUCUCGAAAGCCGGUCUCAGUUCGGAUUGGAGUCUGCAACUCGACUCUAUGAAGCUGGAAUCGCUAGUAAUCGCGCAUCAGCCAUGGCGCGGUGAAUACGUUCCCGGGCCUUGUACACACCGCCCGUCAAGCCAUGGAAGU